rnacentral:rRNA from 1 species
GAUGAACGCUAGCGGGAGGCCUAACACAUGCAAGCCGAGCGGUAUUGUUUCUUCGGAAAUGAGAGAGCGGCGUACGGGUGCGUAACACGUGUGCAACCUGCCUUUAUCUGGGGGAUAGCCUUUCGAAAGGAAGAUUAAUACUCCAUAAUAUAUUGAACGGCAUCGUUUAAUAUUGAAAGCUCCGGCGGAUAGAGAUGGGCACGCGCAAGAUUAGCUAGUUGGUGAGGUAACGGCUCACCAAGGCGAUGAUCUUUAGGGGGCCUGAGAGGGUGAUCCCCCACACUGGUACUGAGACACGGACCAGACUCCUACGGGAGGCAGCAGUGAGGGAUAUUGGUCAAUGGGUGCAAGCCUGAACCAGCCAUCCCGCGUGAAGGACGACUGCCCUAUGGGUUGUAAACUUCUUUUAUAUGGGGAUAAAGUGUGAGACUUGUCUCAUUUUGCAUGUACCAUAUGAAUAAGCAUCGGCUAACUCCGUGCCAGCCGCCGCCGUAAUAC